GAUGAACGCUGGCGGCGUGCCUAAUACAUGCAAGUCGAGCGAACAGACGAGGAGCUUGCUCCUCUGACGUUAGCGGCGGACGGGUGAGUAACACGUGGAUAACCUACCUAUAAGACUGGGAUAACUUCGGGAAACCGGAGCUAAUACCGGAUAAUAUAUUGAACCGCAUGGUUCAAUAGUGAAAGACGGUUUUGCUGUCACUUAUAGAUGGAUCCGCGCCGCAUUAGCUAGUUGGUAAGGUAACGGCUUACCAAGGCAACGAUGCGUAGCCGACCUGAGAGGGGGAUCGGCCACACUGGAACGGAGACACGGUCCAGACGCCUACGGGAGGCAGCAGUAGGGAAUCUUCCGCAAUGGGCGAAAGCCUGACGGAGCAACGCCGCGUGAGUGAUGAAGGUCUUCGGAUCGUAAAACUCUGUUAUUAGGGAAGAACAAAUGUGUAAGUAACUAUGCACGUCUUGACGGUACCUAAUCAGAAAGCCACGGCUAACUACGUG
rnacentral:rRNA from 1 species